GCUAGAUAACCGAAAGUAGAAAUAAUUCUCAAAAUCUGCUGACAUUGUCACUCAAGUCUGAAAGAAGCCAGCACUUUACCUCAGUGUGCUUAUUUCAAUCCACAAAAUGGCACAAUAAAGUAACAACAAGGGCACAGCCAUCAAAGAUCAGAGAGAGAGAAAGAGAAAGAGACUUGGAGGAACAUGGCAGCUUCCAUUUGCUACAUCUUUCCUUCUCCGCCUACCCAGAAACUCCCAGUGCCAUCUGUGCCCCUGUGGGGUGCAGGAGAGAAUCCAUGCCAGUGCCAGCAGCGACGAAACCCUUGAGUUCCGGCGCCAAGACAGACGACAUAGGGAGGCCAUCUUGAUGGAGAUCUUAAACGAGAAGCUAAGAUGGCUGGACUGGCACAUGAGACUGGGCUGUGGACUUGACUCGGAUACACACACUUGGCUCUUGAGAUGAAAUGAAUGAAAAUCAACUGUAAUUACGUUGCCUGAGAGAACAAUUGGAGAGCACCAAGCACCAGAAAGUUUAAGAGGUUUAAGAGGCACAUGAAAUCAUGAGGUUGUGUGUGUGUGUGUGUGUGUGUGUGUGUGUGUGUGUGUGUGUGUGUGUGUGUGUGUGUGUGUGUGUGUGUGGGCUGGUUUAAGGGGUUUACGAGGACAUUUUUUUUUAGGUUACAAACUGGUAAUUACAAGGGUAUUAUGCUAUAAAUGUGCUUUAUGAGGACAUUUCUUGUGUUUAUCACUUAAAAAAACAUACUAUACAAUGUUUAUUAAAAAUGUAACAAUGCAGAAAUUUUUUUGUGAGGGUUAGGGGAUAAUAUCUUUAGUUCGUACAGUAUAAACAUCAUUAUGUCUAUGGAGAGUGCUCAUAAUGAUAGCUGCACCAACGUGUGUGUGUGUGUGUGUGUGUUUGUGUGUGUGUGAGAGAGAGCAAGAAUAUUUUGUUAUUUUGCUAUCUGAAUAUUUCCAUUUAACUUAACAACAUAUGAACCAUGUUUACAGAAGAUUUUAAAUAUACACUGCUUAAAAGUGAGUUACUUAAGCAGAUAUGCAAAGCCUUUUUAAACCUGCAGUAAAUGUAAAUGAAUCCUUUAGUGUUUUGUUAUGUUUUAGUCUUUUAUUAUUUGU